AACUCCGAGAGCAUCCAACACACCAAGUAACAAUUCAUCAAAUGUUGCUGUGAGGCGGUGAAGUUAAUGCUGACACAGUGUCGGGAAAAGGACCCUUUUCUCCUGAAUUGACAACCAUUGUCGUAAUGAAUAUUUAACCAACGGUACAGAAAUGGUUGUUCAGAGCCAGCUACGCGUAAUUUGGUGCCAUUUGAUGGCUAGGCAAAGUAAAUUUGUAUCCAAAGUCGUCUGGACGUCCAAAAGAUGCGGUGUGGGAUAAUACAAUCGAUCUAUAUGUUUAUUAACA